GCAAGGCCAGGAGCCUGCAAGUGCAGGUGGAAAUUUUUCAAAUCCCAUGACGAGGGCAAUCGCAUCUACCAAAGCCGUUCUCACCAUGUGAUGCAUCCGCCAUGUUGUGACAGAGGCUGGCACCAUGCUGUUUGGACUUGCAAGCCAUUAGAAUCGUGAAGACAAGAAAAGGGCGCGUUCACAGCACUUCAACCCAACAUAACUCCCAAAUUGGUGCCGGGAAAGAGCAGGGAGCACUGUUACCAAGAGCCCAGGCAGGAAGCUGCAAGGUGGCCGGAGGCACAGGGG